rnacentral:rRNA from 1 species
UGGCCCUACGGGGGGCAGCAGUGGGGGAUAUUGCACAAUGGGGGGAACCCUGAUGCAGCGACGCCGCGUGGGUGAAGAAGCGCCUCGGCGCGUAAAGCCCUGUCAGCAGGGAAGAAAAUGACGGUACCUGAAGAAGAAGCCCCGGCUAACUACGUGCCAGCAGCCGCGGUAAUACGUAGGGGGCAAGCGUUAUCCGGAUUUAUUGGGUGUAAAGGGUGCGUAGACGGGAAAGCAAGUUAGUUGUGAAAUCCCUCGGCUUAACUGAGGAACUGCAACUAAAACUACUUUUCUUGAGUGCAGGAGAG